rnacentral:piRNA from 1 species
CAUGAACUUGUCUCCACUCCUCAAAGC